GAUAAGUUUCCUGAGGGAGGUGGCUGCCGCAGCCCCUGCUUUGCCAUUUUACUACUAUCACAUCCCCUCACUGACCGGGGUGAAGAUUCGUGCUGAGGAGCUGCUCGACGGGAUUCAGGAUUUCUCUGGCAGAGCAGAGUCAAGGAAGUCACCAAAAUCCCAAUUAGACUUACUACUACUACUGCUGCUGCUGCUGCUGCUGCUAAUGAUGAUGAUGAUGAUGAUGAUGAUGAUGAUGAUGAUGAUGAUGAUAAUAAUAAUAAUUUAUGCUGCCAAAAAUAAGACUCUUCAGCAGAGUGCCUUGCCUAACUUUCUGUUUUAAAUUUUUAAAUUCCAUUUAUUUGCUUGUUCAUUUGUUUAGUGUAUGUGGAAAUUAGAGAACAGCUUGGAACAGUUGGUUCUCUCCUACCCUAUAGGUUCUGGGACUCCAACUCGGGUUGUCUGGCUUUGUGGCAGGCACCUUUGACCACAGGUCAUUUCACCUUCCUGUCUUAGACACCGUGACCAUGGCAACUUAGCAGACAAAAGGUGAGGUGAGCCUCCUCUCACCAGGCUGGCCCCUGAUCAGCUGCCUCUGCUUCCAAGCACUGCAAUCAGAGUGUGCCCUCACACAACAACCAUUUUCUACUGCAUUGUAGUACUGUAGUUUACAAAAAAGAAAA
rnacentral:lncRNA from 1 species